rnacentral:rRNA from 1 species
AGCGAACGCUGGCGGCAGGCCUAACACAUGCAAGUCGAACGAAGUCUUCGGACUUAGUGGCGGACGGGUGAGUAACACGUGGGAACGUGCCUUUAGGUUCGGAAUAACUCAGGGAAACUUGUGCUAAUACCGAAUGUGCCCUUCGGGGGAAAGAUUUAUCGCCUUUAGAGCGGCCCGCGUCUGAUUAGCUAGUUGGUGAGGUAAAGGCUCACCUAGGCUACGAUCAGUAGCUGGUCUGAGAGGAUGACCAGCCACAUUGGGACUGAGACACGGCCCAAACUCCUACGGGAGGCAGCAGUGGGGAAUCUUGCGCAAUGGGCGAAAGCCUGACGCAGCCAUGCCGCGUGGAUGAUGAAGGUCUUAGGAUUGUAAACUCCUUUCACCGGUGAAGAUAAUGACUGUAGCCGGAGAAGAAGCCCCUGCUAACUUCGUGCCAGCAGCCGCCGUAAAAC